rnacentral:rRNA from 1 species
UACGUAGGGGGCGAGCGUUGUCCGGAGUUACUGGGCGUAAAGGGCAUGCAGGCGGUCGGACGCGUUUUGUGUGACAGCGGGUGGCUCAACUGCCCGAGCAUACGAAAGACGGUGUGACUUGAGGGCUCGAGAGGGACACGGAAUUCCGGGUGGAGUGGUGAAAUGCGUAGAGAUCCGGAGGAACACCGAAGGCGAAGGCAGUGUCCUGGCGAGUAUCCUGACGCUGAGGUGCGAAAGCCAGGGGAGCGAACGGG